rnacentral:lncRNA from 1 species
GGCCAAAGCGCUGGUCCGAACUUUCGCUCCAACCUGGUAAUGGAAUUCAGGAAGACACGUCCCUGACUGAACGCUCCUGCAGCUGUGUAUUCAGAAGGAUGCGGCCUCUGGCUUGCGUGCACACGCUGCUGUGGGAAUUCAGAAUUGAGGAAGACGUAGCCCCAGACUGUGUGCUCAUACUGCUGUAAGCAUUGCUGUAAGCAUUCAAGAAGAUGUGGUCUCUGGAUUGCGUGCACGUGCUGCUGUGGGAAUUUAGAAUUCAGAAUGCAGCAGGAUGUGGCCCCAGAUCGUCUGCUCACGCUGCCGUGGGAUUACAGGAAGGCAUGGCCCUCGGAUUGUGUGCUGGUGCUACUGUGCUCAGGACCUGCACAGCCCGUAGUCCUGCCCCACCAGGAGGCCCCAACACCAAGGGCAGAGCCUGCGCUGGGAGCUGCGGGGAGGGGAGGCUCACAGGAUGGCCCUCCUUCUCACAAAGUCCCAUAGCCGGCCGUUCACACAGCCAGGUCGUGGAAGCAACCAGAAGAGCACACCAUGCGUCCAUCCAGCAGACAUCAUUCAGCGUGGAGAUGGUGGAAGUCCUGACACAGCAGUGUGGGUGGCCCUUCAGAUAUUGCAGGGAGAAGCUGGACACAGAAUGCCACACGCUUCAUGAUUCCAGUUCAGAAGAGACCAAGCUCAGGGACAGACCGCAGACAGUGCUUCUGCGUCAUUUUAUAGUGUGUCAACAGUGAUGACGUUUCCAGUCUUCUCAACCCUGCCAUGUCUUUACAUUUAACUCCAGCUUUAUUUGA